AGUGAACGCUGGCGGUAGGCCUAACACAUGCAAGUCGAACGGCAGCACAGUAAGAGCUUGCUCUUACGGGUGGCGAGUGGCGGACGGGUGAGGAAUACAUCGGAAUCUACUUUUUCGUGGGGGAUAACGUAGGGAAACUUACGCUAAUACCGCAUACGACCUACGGGUGAAAGCAGGGGAUCUUCGGACCUUGCGCGAUUGAAUGAGCCGAUGUCGGAUUAGCUAGUUGGCGGGGUAAAGGCCCACCAAGGCGACGAUCCGUAGCUGGUCUGAGAGGAUGAUCAGCCACACUGGAACUGAGACACGGUCCAGACUCCUACGGGAGGCAGCAGUGGGGAAUAUUGGACAAUGGGCGCAAGCCUGAUCCAGCCAUACCGCGUGGGUGAAGAAGGCCUACGGGUUGUAAAGCCCUUUUGUUGGGAAAGAAAAGCAGCAGGUUAAUACCCCGCUGUUCGGACGGUACCCAAAGAAUAAGCACCGGCUAACUUCGU
rnacentral:rRNA from 1 species